UACGUAGGGGGCAAGCGUUAUCCGGAUUUACUGGGUGUAAAGGGAGCGUAGACGGACUUGCAAGUCUGAUGUGAAAAUCCGGGGCCCAACCCCGGAACUGCAUUGGAAACUGUAUAUCUAGAGUGUCGGAGAGGCAAGUGGAAUUCCUGGUGUAGCGGUGUAAUGCGUAGAUAUCAGGAGGAACACCAGUGGCGAAGGCGGCUUGCUGGACGAUGACUGACGUUGAGGCUCGAAAGCGUGGGGAGCAAACAGG
rnacentral:rRNA from 1 species